GACGAACGCUGGCGGCGUGCCUAAUACAUGCAAGUAGAACGCACAGUUUAUACCGUAGCUUGCUACACCAUAGACUGUGAGUUGCGAACGGGUGAGUAACGCGUAGGUAACCUGCCUGGUAGCGGGGGAUAACUAUUGGAAACGAUAGCUAAUACCGCAUAAUAUUAAUUAUUGCAUGAUAAUUAAUUGAAAGGUGCAAUUGCACCACUACCAGAUGGACCUGCGUUGUAUUAGCUAGUAGGUGAGGUAACGGCUCACCUAGGCGACGAUACAUAGCCGACCUGAGAGGGUGAUCGGCCACACUGGGACUGAGACACGGCCCAGACUCCUACGGGAGGCAGCAGUAGGGAAUCUUCGGCAAUGGACGAAAGUCUGACCGAGCAACGCCGCGUGAGUGAAGAAGGUUUUCGGAUCGUAAAGCUCUGUUGUAAGAGAAGAACGGGUGUGAGAGUGGAAAGUUCACACUGUGACGGUAUCUGACCAGAAAGGGACGGCUAACUACGUG
rnacentral:rRNA from 1 species